GACGAACGCUGGCGGCGUGCCUAAUACAUGCAAGUCGAACGAACGGAUAAAGAGCUUGCUCUUUUGAAGUUAGUGGCGGACGGGUGAGUAACACGUGGGUAACCUGCCUCACAGCUGGGGAUAACAUCGAGAAAUCGAUGCUAAUACCGAAUGUGCUGAACAUCAUCAGAUGUUCAAGUGAAAGACGGUUUCGGCUGUCACUGUGAGAUGGACCCGCGCUGGAUUAGCUAGUUGGUAAGGUAAUGGCUUACCAAGGCGACGAUCCAUAGCCGACCUGAGAGGGUGAUCGGCCACAGUGGGACUGAGACACGGCCCAAACUCCUACGGGAGGCAGCAGUAGAGAAUCUUCGGCAAUGGACGAAAGUCUGACCGAGCAACGCCGCGUGAGCGAAGAAGGCCUUCGGGUCGUAAAGCUCUGUUGUUAGAGAAGAACAUGGGUGAGAGUAACUGUUCACCCCUUGACGGUAUCUAACCAGAAAGCCACGGCUAACUCCGUG
rnacentral:rRNA from 1 species